rnacentral:rRNA from 1 species
GACGAACGCUGGCGGCGUGCUUAACACAUGCAAGUCGAACGGAAAGGCCCUGCUUUUGUGGGGUGCUCGAGUGGCGAACGGGUGAGUAACACGUGAGUAACCUGCCCUUGACUUUGGGAUAACUUCAGGAAACUGGGGCUAAUACCGGAUAGGAGCUCCUGCUGCAUGGUGGGGGUUGGAAAGUUUCGGCGGUUGGGGAUGGACUCGCGGCUUAUCAGCUUGUUGGUGGGGUAGUGGCUUACCAAGGCUUUGACGGGUAGCCGGCCUGAGAGGGUGACCGGCCACAUUGGGACUGAGAUACGGCCCAGACUCUUACGGGAGGCAGCAGUGGGGAAUAUUGCACAAUGGGCGGAAGCCUGAUGCAGCAACGCCGCGUGCGGGAUGACGGCCUUCGGGUUGUAAACCGCUUUCGCCUGUGACGAAGCGUGAGUGACGGUAAUGGGUAAAGAAGCACCGGCUAACCACGUG